rnacentral:rRNA from 1 species
UACGUAGGGUGCGAGCGUUAAUCGGAAUUACUGGGCGUAAAGCGUGCGCAGGCGGUGAUGUAAGACAGAUGUGAAAUCCCCGGGCUCAACCUGGGAACUGCAUUUGUGACUGCAUCGCUGGAGUGCGGCAGAGGGGGAUGGAAUUCCGCGUGUAGCAGUGAAAUGCGUAGAUAUGCGGAGGAACACCGAUGGCGAAGGCAAUCCCCUGGGCCUGCACUGACGCUCAUG